AAAUUCAUAUUUAUGGUCAGAAUCUUUAUUUAUGGCCCGAUUUCGAUGAAAUUAUAAACGUGUACUGGGGUACUCCUGAGUAGCCUUCCUCCUCCUCUGGCGUUCAAAUUUUUAUUUUGUAUUAACUUUCAUGGCAGAUUUUUCAGAUCGGCGUGGAAAUUGAAUCUGAAAUAAUUUGCCUCGGGCCCAUGAAAGUUAUAUAUCUGGAAGUCGUAAAGGUUAGCAGUUCCGACACGUGGUCUCAUCUGGAAUUCUUAUUGAUUUGUAUAUGUACAUACAUAUGUACAUACAUGCAAAUGUAGACAUGUUUGCCGUAUCAUCAUGACACCACCAUCAAUAGCAUCUCACCUACAUACAUACAUAUGUACGUACAUAUGUACAUACAUGCAUAAUUUAAGCCCAUCGCUAGCAUGUUUCACCUGAAAGUACAGUCACAAUUAUGCAAACCGUGUUAGUGUUUAAUGUUAAUCCUGAGUGGCAAGGACAACAUAAGAAUGCAGCAGGAAAAGUGCAGCGUUGUUGACCAAAUGACCGACAGCAACAAAAACACGAAAUCACCAAAAGCAACAAAUUGAAUUCUCGGCGAAUUUUGUAAAAGAUAAAUGUGUGUGCGUGUGUUUGUGUGCGUAUGUAUGUAUGUAAGUAAUAUCGAUGAGAAUCACAGUAGCAGCAGAAGCAUAGCUUCAGGAGCAGGAACAACAACUACAGCUCCAACAAAUAGUUCAAGGUCGAUGCGUAAACACACACACACACACAUACACAGGCAGAUAGAUAUUCAUGUGCAUACAUCUGCAAAGUAUUGCGUUGUAAAUUUCCAGAAAUUUAGUUGACUUUUGGAAGUUGGUGGACUCGAUAGCAGGCCUACAUACAUAUGUAUUCAAUUUAAUUUAACCGGAAAUGAAUUCGUGUAUGUUUUCUUACGUCUUAAAUUAGUCAGUAUUCGGAGUGUAGAAAUUCGAGGCAGUGCUAGUUUUGUGUUUUCCCGCGAUAUUUGUCUACUUAUAGGCGCAUUGGCAUACUCAGGUGUGUUGUAGUAGCAUACUUUUAGGCGCGCACGUUCUUUUCUUUGCACGCUUGUUUUAUACAGAUUUUCUUCAACUACUUUUUUGUGUUUUAUGUAAUGACUAAUUCAAAUGUUUUCUUUUGUUUCUUCUUUCACUUUCUCUCCUUCCAGGUGGCGUUAGUACUGGUUGCAGCAACAUCUAUUUCACAGGCAAUGGUGAUUUAGUGGCCGGCUCGGCGACUGCUGAAGAGUUGGCACUCAGCGCCGCAGGUGUACAAAGUGUCAAUCGUGCACCAUCCACAUUUUGGCAAUAUCAAAAUGCUCUACCUAUCGAAUCGGUGAUUUCCAUGUCUCCAGCAACAGUGGGUUUGCAGUAUUCGCGCGAUGCAAGUCGCGGUCAAGUGGUGCUUCUGCCGGCUACACCAGCCGCUUUA